rnacentral:lncRNA from 1 species
ACCAGCAGGGGAAAGAAUAGGGUGUGGCCUCACACGUUGGCUUGUUGCUUGCACCUGAAGAAGACAGAGACCAGCAGCCGAUGGACACCAUCUAGUGUUGGUUACAACAGGCUCUGAGGUAGGAUGUGAUUCUUAUCUUUGAAGAGUGGCAUGCUCGAGUUGUGAAUCUGCUGCUAUACAUUGGCUGAGGAUUAAUUACAAGGAGGUGUGUUAUGCUGGAGUAGGAGGCGGGAAGGAUCUAAUACUAUGGUGAACAUUUUCUUCAGUCAUACUAAAAUACAUUAAAAAAAAUAGCUGCAGUUGUUGUCCUGAUUUACAUGAAAAACUGCUAUCUUUUACACAGUAGGCGCUAGAGCAAGUAGUAAAUUACUUGAGUAAUCCUAUACUUAUUCUGUUUACCAUCCCGACAUAGGUAUGGGAUGAGUGUGGACAUCGAGUACUUUAGUAACAGCAAUCCAGUCUUUUACAAUAGCCCUCUAUAGGAUAUUUAAUUUUGAGUACUUCACUAUUUUAUUGUGGCAACUCGCAUAAUAGACUCACAUCAUCGGCUGAUGCAUAUUCCACGACAUGAAAAAUACCUCAAGGAAUUGUUGUUUCAAAUUGCAGUUGCGUCCAAGGUGGGCUGAGGUGAUAACUGAAUAAUCUUCUGCUGCAAAGCAGAUUCUGUAUUCACUUAUACUCCCUCCGUUCCUAAAUAUAAGUCUUUUAAGAGAUUUCACUAAUAGUCUACAUACGGAGCAAAAUGAGUGAAUCUAUAUUCUAAAGUAUGUCUAUAUACAUCCUUAUAUAGUCCACUAGUGGAAUAUCUAAAAAGACUUAUAUUUAGAAACGGAGGGAGUAUUUUGCAUGGGCCGAAGGAUACUUCUCUUUAUGCUGCAAUACUGCUUACAAACGUAUAUAGGGUGAAAGGAAGCGGAUAAUUUAAAUGUUGUAAUAUAACACUGAGCAAUUAAUUUUGUUUCUUCUACGUUGUUGAUCUAUAGUGCUUUAGCGUUACUAAUGACCUCGAGUUAUCCUAUGCAUGCAGUAUUUUUGUACUAGGUUGAACCAGAUGGUCUCUUCCAAUGGAAAUCGCAGGGUGGCCCUUCUUACGAUAAAGAAAAAGAGUGUGUCACAAAAUGACAUUCACUGAUGCAAAUGUAUUUUCCCGAGCAUAGGAUCAACUAGUGCGGCUUCUUGCUUGAUUCAACUGGAUCUAAUGGCGGCGCAACAGGUGGAGUUGGGGAGGUAUGACGGUGGACAUGUGAAUGUCAUCGUGGCAUUGACACAUUUCGCUCCACCGACACUGCAUACCAACGUGAGUGAAUGCUAUCGUGGCCUUAGGCCAGCCAAAUUCUUGCUUGACUUUUUUGUUUUGUAUAUGUAUAUUUCAGUUCCG